GACGUAGGGGGCAAGCGUUGUUCGGAAUUAUUGGGCGUAAAGCGCUCGUAGGCGGGACAGGAAGUUCGUGUUGAAAGACCUCGGCUCAACUGAGGGACCGGCUCGAAUACUCUUGUUCUUGAGGCAAUCAGAGGGUGAUGGAAUUCCCGGUGUAGCGGUGAAAUGCGUAGAUAUCGGGAGAAACACCUGUGGCGAAAGCGGCUCACUGGACCACAACUGACGCUGAGGCGCGAAAGCUAGGGGAGCAAACAGG
rnacentral:rRNA from 1 species